UACGUAGGCAGCAAGCGUUGUUCGGAGUUACUGGGCGUAAAGGGUGUGUAGGCGGUUGCCUAAGUUUGGUGUGAAAUCUCCUGGCUCAACCGGGAGGGUGCGCCGAAAACUGGGUGACUAGAGUGUGGGAUGGGUAAGUGGAAUUCCUGGUGUAGCGGUGAAAUGCGUAGAUAUCAGGAGGAACACCGGUGGUGUAGACGGCUUUCUGGACCGACACUGACGCUGAGACACGAAAGCGUGGGUAGCAAACAGG
rnacentral:rRNA from 1 species